rnacentral:piRNA from 1 species
GAGUGGUUUUGCGUUUAUCUGAUGCC